AUUGGCUUCCUCUUCCGUUUCAGAACCGAGAGAGCUUCCAUUUGGUGUCGAGCAACUGUUGCUGAAAGUCACACUGCUACUGUCACUCUCGGCUCUUGUAAAUUUUGAUGCAGUACCCUGGAAGAACACACCUGAAUAAAGAAAUCGAUCUCGAUCGAUGGGAUAGAGAUAUGGAAAGUAAAGAACUCGAACCGAAGAUCGACGAAUCGUUAUCACCGAACGAUUUACAAGCUGGCCAGAUUUCUUGCGUAGAAUUUACGAGACGGGAAAAACCGAGUUGCUUGUCACUCCAACGAACACGAACGACUAAUACACGUGAACUUUGCGCUAACGUUGCAUUCAAAGAUCCUGC